CAGCCAGUCAACAACUAACCACUUCCUCUUCUGUUGUACCUCCUCCACAAAUACAUGUAAAAGAUGAUGGUAAAGUUUCACUCUGUCUUUAUUUGAUGGUCAUCAUGUUCUGUUUAAACCAAGCAGCUCUGCUCUCUGUUCAACUCUUACUCAUUGUCCAUGUUCAUGCAGUGUUGGGGAAAGGUCCAGAUGAUCUCAGGAAUACACUGGUGUCCAGAGGAGACUCCGUCAUGCUCACCUGCAACAUAUCGAUAAAUAAUGGAACACAAACCAACUGGAACAAAGACAGAUUUUAUUUCACUUAUUCAUUCACAUAUAAUCUCAAUUCUUCCAAUUUCCCCUCUGACAGACUCAGAAUAGACGUUAAUUUAACCACAACGCUGAAUAUAUUUAAUGUUCAGCAUGAAGACGCUGGACUUUAUACAUGUAAUGUAACUGAUAUAGAUGGUGUAAAGACCAUAAGGUGGAAUCUAACAGUUUCUGAGAGCUCCAAAGAUCCAGGAACCAGACCAUCAUGGUAUGUUCUCUACAUAAUCACACCUGUAAUAGGAUUUAUUCUGUGUGGCUUCAUGUUAGCUGUCUACAUCUGCAGGUGAGUA
rnacentral:lncRNA from 1 species